GUUUAAAUAGCUUAUAAAUGUAGAGCGUAACACUGAAGAUGUUAAGGGAGUUGUUCAACUUUUAAAUG
rnacentral:tRNA from 1 species